rnacentral:rRNA from 1 species
UGGUGGGGACUCAUGGGAGACUGCCGGGGUCAACUCGGAGGAAGGUGAGGACGACGUCAAAUCAUCAUGCCCCUUAUGUCUUGGGCUUCACGCAUGCUACAAUGGCCGGUACAAUGGGUUGCGAUACUGUGAGGUGGAGCUAAUCCCAAAAAGCCGGUCUCAGUUCGGAUUGGGGUCUGCAACUCGACCCCAUGAAGUCGGAGUCGCUAGUAAUCGCAGAUCAGCAACGCUGCGGUGAAUACGUUCCCGGGCCUUGUACACACCGCCCGUCAAGUCACGAAAGUUGGUAACACCCGAAGCCGGUGGCCUAACCCUUGUGGGGGGAGCCGUCGAAGGUGGGACCAGCGAUUGGGACU